rnacentral:rRNA from 1 species
UUGACAGAUUGACAGCUCUUUCUUAAUUCUGCGGAUUGUGGUGCAUGGCCGUUCUUAGUUGGUGGAGUGAUUUGUCUGGUUAAUUCUGCUAACGAACGAGACGAUCGACUGUUAAUUCGCGUAAAAACUGAUUUCAUGAUUUUGCUUCUUUUAAAAACUAGAUUUGCAUAAAAAGCUGGAAGUUGGUAGCAAUAACAGGUCUGUGAUGCCCUUACACGUUCUGGGUAGCGCACGGGCUACAAUAGGAGAAUUACUAUGCUUAAUAUCUUAAUUCGAGAUGAGCUGAGAAAUCAUGAAACUUAUCUAUAGUUGGGGUUACACAUUGAAAUUAUUAUGUACUAACCAGGAAUGUCUAGUAAAUUUAAGUCAUUAACGUUCUUUGAAUGCGUCCCUGCCCCUUUGUAA